rnacentral:rRNA from 1 species
GACGAACGCUGGCGGCGUGCUUAACACAUGCAAGUCGAACGGAAAGGCCCUGCUUUUGUGGGGUGCUCGAGUGGCGAACGGGUGAGUAACACGUGAGUAACCUGCCCUUGACUUUGGGAUAACUUCAGGAAACUGGGGCUAAUACCGGAUAGGAGCUCCUGCUGCAUGGUGGGGGUUGGAAAGUUUCGGCGGUUGGGGAUGGACUCGCGGCUUAUCAGCUUGUUGGUGGGGUAGUGGCUUACCAAGGCUUUGACGGGUAGCCGGCCUGAGAGGGUGACCGGCCACAUUGGGACUGAGAUACGGCCCAGACUCCAACGGGAGGCAGCGGUGGGGAAUAUUGCACAAUGGGCGGAAGCCUGAUGCAGCAACGCCGCGUGCGGGAUGACGGCCUUCGGGUUGUAAACCGCUUUCGCCUGUGACGAAGCGUGAGUGACGGUAAUGGGUAAAGAAGCACCGGCUAACUACGUG